rnacentral:rRNA from 1 species
AUUUAUUCAUAAAAAAAAGAAAAUUUUCAACGAUGGAUAUCUGGGUUCCCAUAUCGAUGAAGAACGCAGCGAAAUGCGAUACGCAAUGCGAAUAGCAGAACCGCGAGACAUCUGAUCUUUGAACGCAAUUGGCGCUACCCAUGUAGCAUGUUUGUUUCAGUGU